rnacentral:rRNA from 1 species
GGGUUGUGAGGUUAAGCGACUAAGCGUACACGGUGGAUGCCCUGGCAGUCAGAGGCGAUGAAGGACGUGCUAAUCUGCGAUAAGCGUCGGUAAGGUGAUAUGAACCGUUAUAACCGGCGAUUUCCGAAUGGGGAAACCCAGUGUGUUUCGACACACUAUCAUUAACUGAAUCCAUAGGUUAAUGAGGCGAACCGGGGGAACUGAAACAUCUAAGUACCCCGAGGAAAAGAAAUCAACCGAGAUUCCCCCAGUAGCGGCGAGCGAACGGGGAGCAGCCCAGAGCCUGAAUCAGUAUGUGUGUUAGUGGAAGCGUCUGGAAAGGCGCGCGAUACAGGGUGACAGCCCCGUACACAAAAAUGCACAUAUUGUGAGCUCGAUGAGUAGGGCGGGACACGUGGUAUCCUGUCUGAAUAUGGGGGGACCAUCCUCCAAGGCUAAAUACUCCUGACUGACCGAUAGUGAACCAGUACCGUGAGGGAAAGGCGAAAAGAACCCCGGCGAGGGGAGUGAAAAAGAACCUGAAACCGUGUACGUACAAGCAGUGGGAGCACGCUUAGGCGUGUGACUGCGUACCUUUUGUAUAAUGGGUCAGCGACUUAUAUUCUGUAGCAAGGUUAACCGAAUAGGGGAGCCGAAGGGAAACCGAGUCUUAACUGGGCGUUAAGUUGCAGGGUAUAGACCCGAAACCCGGUGAUCUAGCCAUGGGCAGGUUGAAGGUUGGGUAACACUAACUGGAGGACCGAACCGACUAAUGUUGAAAAAUUAGCGGAUGACUUGUGGCUGGGGGUGAAAGGCCAAUCAAACCGGGAGAUAGCUGGUUCUCCCCGAAAGCUAUUUAGGUAGCGCCUCGUGAAUUCAUCUCCGGGGGUAGAGCACUGUUUCGGCAAGGGGGUCAUCCCGACUUACCAACCCGAUGCAAACUGCGAAUACCGGAGAAUGUUAUCACGGGAGACACACGGCGGGUGCUAACGUCCGUCGUGAAGAGGGAAACAACCCAGACCGCCAGCUAAGGUCCCAAAGUCAUGGUUAAGUGGGAAACGAUGUGGGAAGGCCCAGACAGCCAGGAUGUUGGCUUAGAAGCAGCCAUCAUUUAAAGAAAGCGUAAUAGCUCACUGGUCGAGUCGGCCUGCGCGGAAGAUGUAACGGGGCUAAACCAUGCACCGAAGCUGCGGCAGCGACGCUGAUGCGUUGUUGGGUAGGGGAGCGUUCUGUAAGCCUGUGAAGGUGUGCUGUGAGGCAUGCUGGAGGUAUCAGAAGUGCGAAUGCUGACAUAAGUAACGAUAAAGCGGGUGAAAAGCCCGCUCGCCGGAAGACCAAGGGUUCCUGUCCAACGUUAAUCGGGGCAGGGUGAGUCGACCCCUAAGGCGAGGCCGAAAGGCGUAGUCGAUGGGAAACAGGUUAAUAUUCCUGUACUUGGUGUUACUGCGAAGGGGGGACGGAGAAGGCUAUGUUGGCCGGGCGACGGUUGUCCCGGUUUAAGCGUGUAGGCUGGUUUUCCAGGCAAAUCCGGAAAAUCAAGGCUGAGGCGUGAUGACGAGGCACUACGGUGCUGAAGCAACAAAUGCCCUGCUUCCAGGAAAAGCCUCUAAGCAUCAGGUAACAUCAAAUCGUACCCCAAACCGACACAGGUGGUCAGGUAGAGAAUACCAAGGCGCUUGAGAGAACUCGGGUGAAGGAACUAGGCAAAAUGGUGCCGUAACUUCGGGAGAAGGCACGCUGAUAUGUAGGUGAAGUCCCUCGCGGAUGGAGCUGAAAUCAGUCGAAGAUACCAGCUGGCUGCAACUGUUUAUUAAAAACACAGCACUGUGCAAACACGAAAGUGGACGUAUACGGUGUGACGCCUGCCCGGUGCCGGAAGGUUAAUUGAUGGGGUUAGCCGCAAGGCGAAGCUCUUGAUCGAAGCCCCGGUAAACGGCGGCCGUAACUAUAACGGUCCUAAGGUAGCGAAAUUCCUUGUCGGGUAAGUUCCGACCUGCACGAAUGGCGUAAUGAUGGCCAGGCUGUCUCCACCCGAGACUCAGUGAAAUUGAACUCGCUGUGAAGAUGCAGUGUACCCGCGGCAAGACGGAAAGACCCCGUGAACCUUUACUAUAGCUUGACACUGAACAUUGAGCCUUGAUGUGUAGGAUAGGUGGGAGGCUUUGAAGUGUGGACGCCAGUCUGCAUGGAGCCGACCUUGAAAUACCACCCUUUAAUGUUUGAUGUUCUAACGUUGACCCGUAAUCCGGGUUGCGGACAGUGUCUGGUGGGUAGUUUGACUGGGGCGGUCUCCUCCUAAAGAGUAACGGAGGAGCACGAAGGUUGGCUAAUCCUGGUCGGACAUCAGGAGGUUAGUGCAAUGGCAUAAGCCAGCUUGACUGCGAGCGUGACGGCGCGAGCAGGUGCGAAAGCAGGUCAUAGUGAUCCGGUGGUUCUGAAUGGAAGGGCCAUCGCUCAACGGAUAAAAGGUACUCCGGGGAUAACAGGCUGAUACCGCCCAAGAGUUCAUAUCGACGGCGGUGUUUGGCACCUCGAUGUCGGCUCAUCACAUCCUGGGGCUGAAGUAGGUCCCAAGGGUAUGGCUGUUCGCCAUUUAAAGUGGUACGCGAGCUGGGUUUAGAACGUCGUGAGACAGUUCGGUCCCUAUCUGCCGUGGGCGCUGGAGAACUGAGGGGGGCUGCUCCUAGUACGAGAGGACCGGAGUGGACGCAUCACUGGUGUUCGGGUUGUCAUGCCAAUGGCACUGCCCGGUAGCUAAAUGCGGAAGAGAUAAGUGCUGAAAGCAUCUAAGCACGAAACUUGCCCCGAGAUGAGUUCUCCCUGACUCCUUGAGAGUCCUGAAGGAACGUUGAAGACGACGACGUUGAUAGGCCGGGUGUGUAAGCGCAGCGAUGCGUUGAGCUAACCGGUACUAAUGAACCGUGAGGCUUAACCUUACAACGCCGAAGGUGUUU